rnacentral:rRNA from 1 species
ACGCUCGACACCUACGGGAGCAGCAGUUGGGAAUAUUGGACAAUGGAGGAAACUCUGAUCCAGUGACGCCGCGUGAAGGAAGAAGGUCUUCGGAUUGUAAACUUAUUUUGUCAGGGAAGAAAAAAUGACUGUACCUGAAGAAAAAGCACCGGCUAACUACGUGCCNNNCGCGAGUAUNUGNGGCGGNGNGAGAG